rnacentral:lncRNA from 1 species
ACAUGGUAUGGUGCUCAUCAAUUACACUUCUCUUUGUCUCUCUCUAAGGUGGUUUUGAAUUCAGGCAAAGUAGGAUACUAGUUAUUAGACUUUUAAAUUUUAGUAUCAACCUACUUUAUGGAGCUGUGGUAAGCUUUAAAUAAAAUACAUAUAAAACUCUGCAUAGUACCUGGAAAACAGUAAAUACACCCUCUACCGUAACUGCUGCUGUACUAAAAGAUUCAAAACUAAGGAAAAAGGGCCAAUUUUAAAGCAUUUAUCCAUUCACUAUGAAACAUCUAAUAUGAAUUUGAAUGAAAUAUUCUAUAAUACCUCUAUAAAAACAAGAUCUCCAUUCACUGAAGAAAAAAUAACUUGUUAAUGUUACUAGUUAUAAUAUGAAUCAUACAAAUUUACAGUCCGAACAAUCAUUCAUUAAGCAGGGAACAUUCCUUAUAGCCAAUAAAAUUCUAAUACAUACAGAUAAUUAAACACAACAUGCAUAAGCAAAGUCAGACAUUAUUCUAAAAAAAAUUAAAACAUCUUAGAAUCGGCUUGACAUCUAAAAGUUUUAAGAAGAAACAUCCUUCAGUUAAUUUAUUAAGGUUAACUCCAUUAGCAAUAUGUUCAGAAGCACACUCAAAAAACCAAAGGAUACAUUUCAUCUGGUAAUAAAACAUAAAAGAAAACUGAUGCUUCAAAAUGAGCCCAGCAGCUCUAACAGCAGCAAGAAAAACCUGACAUCUAUGGUCCUUCAGGAGUUUUAUGAAACCCCUGGAAUUAUUUGUAAAAUGUCGUGCAUAUAUGCAUGUAAAUGUGGUACAAAUCCUCUCAUUACAUUCUCAAAGGUCACCACUCAAAAAAAUAACAACAGUGAUGCUUCUAGUCACCAUUUAUUCAAUUUCCUUAGUAAAAUCUUGCAGGAUUUAUUUUCAACUUUAAUUUUAGUAAAUAACUUUUAAAGAAUCAAAAUACAAUCUACAAAAUCUCUAAAAGAGCAUCUUUUUAAAAUUGGCUACUUACCUUUCACAUGUUCUGAUAUAAUUUUUUCAUUAACAUGCAAUGCUUUUUCUGCUCUUAAGUCCAUUGUGUUUUCCUGUAUUCCUACAGGUGGUAGUUUUUCAAAAAUGUUUUCAAAUGUAAUUGGUGUUACUCUUCAAACCAUUAGAUGCUUCCCAAAAUGAAGCUGUUGUACAUGUAUCAAAUGUAAUGGUACUUUGGGGAUUAUGUGUUUCACUACCAACCUUCUUCCUCAGUGUUAAAUUUCUACAAUGUAAUCUUUUACUAAUAUGGUUUUUUCUUAAGAGGUUCUCAUAGACAUCUUUUCUCUUUAGUUUUCUGCUUUUUUAAUUUUUGCUUCUCCAUGUAUGUGCAUUUGUAUUUUCUCCUUUGUAAUAAUUUUGAUCUAACAACCAACAAACAGGCUUAUUCAUUAAUUUAUAUUGAAUUUUAGUAGAUCCAGUAGUACUCAAGGCAUGGAGAUGAUCUGAAUCUUUAGAAUAAAUUGCCAGACCAGAUGCAACCAAUUUAUCAGCCAAAUUGCUUUUCUCAUGAAUGAUAUCUACCUUCAGUUUUGUUUCAAAAUUAUAUUCCCUUGGCUGAAAAACCAAGCCUGGUUUAUUCAGGAAAUAUUGAAAAACACUUUUGGCUUCUUCAUUCCAAUGUUUCCCUUCAACAGGUAAGAUACCAAAUCAACUGCAAGGAUAACUCAGUCUUGGCAAAUUCAAAAGUUCCUCAGGAACAACUAAGAUUUUUUUGUAUCUGAAUUAAAGUAUGUGAACAUAAAAUCCAUAGUCAAUCAAUAUAAGAAGUAAUAACUGAUCAGAAAUUUCAAAAAUUUCUACUCUAUUCCAUUGAUCUUCCAAUCCAUAUUUGGACAAACAACCAGAACCAGGAAUUACAUGCUCUUGAGGUACUGUUUGUAAGUUUUCUGGUAAAUCAGAAAGCAACAUAAAGAGAGACUUCACUGCAUCAAAGAAAUCUUCAACUCAACACAGAAGUCUGAUGGAUCAGAAACAAUACCAGAGUACUGCAUACCAUUUUGGAGUUGUGCCCGAGUAAAUGAUCUUGUUGUACAUGAUGACACAGGAGUCUUAGAUUCAAUGCUGAAAAUGAUUCCUGAAGAUUUGUUUUUGGUUUCUUCAACAUGAACUGUAUUCAGAUUCAAAUAUUCCAAAAGUAAACAGCCAUCUAUAAAAAUUUCUACUUUCCAGGCAGAGUCUAAACAUUUCAAGAAAAGGAUGUUUAUUUCCAAAUGAGCAAAUACAGAAACACACAAUGGACUCCAAUGGCAUGUUACUAAAAUUUUCAAACCAAAUCCAUUUACAAGGCACGGCUUGUCUUGGAAUAUUUAUUUCAUUACUAAGCACCCUGGUAUUACAUAAAGGCACUAUUUCAUGCCAACCAUGAUCUACUAAAAAAACCAAGCACCUUCUCAUCAACACACACUUUUUUUCUACUUUUGAGCCAUACCACUUCAAAGUUUUUUUAGAUUUUUCCAAGCAUUCUAACUAAGCCUUUUUCAGGAUCUUUCACUGAUAAAAUAGAGGGUUUUUUGGCUUCUUUAGUAAUUAAUACUGCUGAAUCAGAUAAAAUCUUUUUCUUUUUAGAUAAAUUCACAUAGAAUGUCCCACUUUUUGAAACAAAGUAUUUCAGCCUUUUCAAGUUGUCCUGGUUUUAACUUUUCCAAAGGAAUAUUAACCACCUGUUGGUAAGAUGGCUGAAGGAUCACAGAACCUUCAUAGUCAUUUGAUUGUCCUUCCUUCAUUUCAUUAACAGGGAACAUCUUUUCAGCCACAACCUGAGACAUUUGCAAGACUGUUUUCUGUAGCUUUGAACAUACUGUCCUUUUCAGUAAUUCAUUAAUGACACAUUUUUCAUCACAAAUUAGUUUUACUUCCCAUUUCUGCUCAUGUUUUUUCAAAAACUCACAAGAAACUAUUUUGUUUCUUACUCUUGAAGCAAAAUAAUCAACAGUUUUGCUAUCCCAUAUUUUAUCAGGCUCAUUCCACUUUACUCCACUAAAGAAAGAAUGGACUCCUAGCUGAGGAAUAGUUGGGAAUUCCUCCUUAAUUUCAUAAAUUUUAGAUGCAGUUACUAUUUCAGUGUUACCAUAGUCAAUAAAUUCCACUUCAAAAGAAUUUCCCGGCAAAAUCUUCUUAAUAACAGCUCUGUAAGUGACUUUAUCACCAGAGUAUUCUGCUACUACAAGAUCUCCCACCAUAGGUUUAUCUGAUUUUUUUCCUCUUUGAAUAUAUUGUUUCUUCUUUCAAGUAGAGCAUCUGCAAGUCUGGUGAUUACAUUUUCAUUCUCAGCAAGCUGAAUAUGGAAAUUUGCUGGAUUACUGAUAUUAGAAACGUAUCCUUUAACUCUGGUAUUCAAGUAAACUUUGAGUUGAGGAAGAUCUUUGAUCUGUGGUCUAGCAAUACUAUAUGGAUUUUGUGAGGCUGCCUGAUUUAAGUCUCUGAUAAAAGACUGUGAUACAACCCUGACUGAGUUCUGGCCCGUAUCACUUUGAUCAAGAGUAUGUGCAGAACCAGGGACAAUUUUUACACCUUUCCAUUUUCCAUCACUCAAAGACUUCUUCACUUUGUUUUUUGACACAGGUUCAACUUUGUAGCAAAUUAAUUGUUUAAAAAGCCUGGCAUAUAAACUUUCGGAAUUUAUUAUCUAUUCGGCUUUCAGAAUAUGUUACUAGUUUUAUUUAUCAUAUUUUGGUGAAAGCCAUUUUCUAUUUUGCCUUUCAAGGAAACAGCAAGUCUCUUAUUCUCAUUUGUUUUAUGACCUUUUUCCACACAAUGUGCUUGGUCACAAUGUUUUUUUUUCCCAUAAGCAUGGAGCAACAUUUUAAUUUUCUGAUUUAUAUGUUGAUAGCCAUCAUAUAAUUCUAUACCAAGUUGGCCAUCUGGCUCCCUUGACAGUACUAUUGCCUUUAAUGGUUUUCCCAAGCCAUUACCUUCAAACAAACUAUUGCUUUCUGCUGGAAUAUCUACAUCCCCAAGACGUGACAAAAAACAUUUAACAGCUAGCAUAGGUGUAAACAGCAAUUCUGGAAACUCAUCUGAAACGGCCCUUAACAUACGUUCUUCUACUAACUGCGUAUUUCCAAAGUCCACAAAAGAUACCAGAAAGUCAGAUAAUGAAUCUGUUGGCAAUGCUAAAGCUCUGUAAGAGAGGCCAUCCUCUACAUUCUUAGAUAUGCACAAUCGCAUUUUACUAAAAUCGUAUUUGGGGCAAUCACUGAGGUUACUCAUCUCUGAUUUUUGUUUCAAUUAUCUCAAGGGCUUUAUUAUUUCCACUAAGUUGGCAAUACAACUUUGUAUGACUAUACAUGUGAGAUAUAUUUUUUCCUCACUUCCAAUUUUUAUAUUGAAGGAGGAACAACAGUAACUGUAAAGACUAACUGAAGAUGGGAAUGGCUUUGAUCAUGUACUGUGCAGAACCAUGAUUAGUAAGAAAUUCUUGGAGUUCCCGUCGUGGCACAGUGGUUAACGAAUCCGACUAGGAACCAUGAGGUUGCGGGUUCGGUCCCUGCCCUUGCUCAGUGGGUUAACGAUCCGGCAUUGCCGUGAGCUGUGGUGUAGGUUGCAGACGCGGCUCGGAUCCCGCGUUGCUGUGGCUCUGGCGUAGGCCGGUGGCUACAGCUCCGAUUCGACCCCUAGCCUGGGAACCUCCAUAUGCCACAGGAAGCGGCCCUAGAAAAGGCAAAAAGAAGUUCUUUUGCACUGGUAAAUGGAGAGUGUAAAUCCACUAAACUGCAUAAGCAGUUUGGAUGUACAAGAACUAAGGCAUAGACGGCACAAGUCAAUAACCUUCUAGAUGAAGAGGUACAAUUCCCAAAGUCUCUGCAUGCUUCUCCUGUACCAACUUAGUAAUUUACAACUAACGGGUUCAAUGAAAUAGUUAAGACUACAUCUGAGAGCCUGGCCUUGUAAAAAAAGGAAACAUGGGUUAAUAGCACAAAGUUCUUUAAUUAAAACUCUUUCCUGGUAACCAUAAUCAACAAAUACUACGUCAAAUUGUUUUUUUGAUACUUGAGUCAAAACGGCAACUCUAUACCACUUCCCAUCUUUAGAAUACUUAGCAACACAAGCAACCUGCCCAAUUUGGUAAGGAUCAGAAUGAAUAUUGUAAUAAUUCUGAAGUUUUCCCGUCGUGGCGCAGUGGUUAACAAAUCCGACUAGGAACCAUGAGGUUGCGGGUUCGAUCCCUGCCCUUGCUCAGUGGGUUAACGAUCUGGCGUUGCCGUGAGCUGAGGUGUAGGUCACAGACGCGGCUCAGAUUCUGCGUUGCUGUGGCGCAGGCAUAGGCUGGUGGCUACAGCUCCGAUUAGACCCCUAGCCUGGGAACCUCCAUAUGCCGCGGGAGCGGCCCAAGAAAUAGCAAAAAGACAAAAAAAAAAAAAAAAAAAAAA